GAUGAACGCUGGCGGCGUGCCUAAUACAUGCAAGUCGAGCGAAUGGAUUAAGAGCUUGCUCUUAUGAAGUUAGCGGCGGACGGGUGAGUAACACGUGGGUAACCUGCCCAUAAGACUGGGAUAACUCCGGGAAACCGGGGCUAAUACCGGAUAACAUUUUGAACCGCAUGGUUCGAAAUUGAAAGGCGGCUUCGGCUGUCACUUAUGGAUGGACCCGCGUCGCAUUAGCUAGUUGGUGAGGUAACGGCUCACCAAGGCAACGAUGCGUAGCCGAGCUGAGAGGGUGAUCGGCCACACUGGGACUGCGACACGGCCCAGACUCCUACGGGAGGCAGCAGUAGGGAAUCUUCCGCAAUGGACGAAAGUCUGACGGAGCAACGCCGCGUGAGUGAUGAAGGCUGUCGGGUCGUAAAACUCUGUUGUUAGGGAAGAACAAGUGCUAGUUGAAUAAGCUGGCACCUUGACGGUACCUAACCAGAAAGCCACGGCUAACUACGUGCCAGCCGCCGCCGUAA
rnacentral:rRNA from 1 species